UUAGUAUAAACUGGGACAUAUCCUAAUUUCAAAAAUGAUGCAUUACUUCCAAUUUGUUCCCAAAAAGAAAUGAAUGUGAUAUUUGCAAUUAACUCAUAACCCAAGCAAGCAUGUAUAGAAGCCUACAAAAAAAGCCUCAAGUUCCGCCAGGAAAGGCGACUAAAAAAAAACGUUGGAGGAAAAAACAUUAUCGUCAGGAGUUCCCAUUUUAUAUUGAACUUAUCUCUUAUUCCUGCAGACAUCAUUUUCAUUAAAGAAUUGAGUAGCAGUCUGUUUUCUGGCCUUAUAUAUAGAGUUGUUAAUAUAAUUGGACACAUAUAUAUAAAGUUGUUAAUAUGAUUAGCCAUAUAUAGAGAGUUGUUAAUAUGCAGGGGUUCGGGUGGAUGCGGGCGACCAUGAUGUGGUCCAGCAUGACGUUGACAAGCUUGAAUCAGACGGACUUCUAGCUCUGAGAAAAAAUGAAACAAAAAAGCUGGGACGUAUCAAUACAUUGGAGCAGGAGGCAGGGUCGCCCUUAAAAAAAACAGUUGGUAAGAUACAUACUAUGAAAAUCGCAAACCUAUAUUCGUUCGUCAUAUAAAUUAAAAUGAUUGUUUUCGGCGCAAGUGCAUUGAUAUAAAAAGUC